UGGGGAAUAUUGGACAAUGGGCGAAAGCCUGAUCCAGCCAUGCCGCGUGAGUGAUGAAGGCCCUAGGGUUGUAAAGCUCUUUUAGCGGGGAAGAUAAUGACGGUACCCGCAGAAUAAGCCCCGGCUAACUUCGUGCCAGCAACCGCGGUAAUACGAAGGGGGCUAGCGUUGCUCGGAAUCACUGGGCGUAAAGGGCGCGUAGGCGGCCAUUCAAGUCGGGGGUGAAAGCCCAGGGCUCAACCCUGGAAUUGCCUUCGAUACUGUUUGGCUAGAGACCGGAAGAGGUAAGUGGAACUGCGAGUGUAGAGGUGAAAUUCGUAGAUAUUCGCAAGAACACCAGUGGCGAAGGCGGCUUACUGGUCCGGUUCUGACGCUGAGGCGCGAAAGCGUGGGGAGCAAACAGG
rnacentral:rRNA from 1 species